GUGCCAGCAGGCCGCGGUAAUACGGAGGGUGCAAGCGUUACUCGGAAUCACUGGGCGUAAAGAGCGUGUAGGCGGGUAUAUAAGUCAGAAGUGAAAUCCAAUAGCUUAACUAUUGAACUGCUUUUGAAACUGUAUACCUAGAAUGUGGGAGAGGUAGAUGGAAUUUCUGGUGUAGGGGUAAAAUCCGUAGAGAUCAGAAGGAAUACCGAUUGCGAAGGCGAUCUACUGGAACAUUAUUGACGCUGAGACGCGAAAGCGUGGGGAGCAAACAGGAUUAGAUACCCUGGUAGUCCACGCCCUAAACGAUGUACACUAGUUGUUGUGAGGCUCGACCUUGCAGUAAUGCAGUUAACACAUUAAGUGUACCGCCUGGGGAGUACGGUCGCAAGAUUAAAACUCAAAGGAAUAGACGGGGACCCGCACAAGCGGUGGAGCAUGUGGUUUAAUUCGACGAUACACGAAGAACCUUACCUGGACUUGACAUAGUAAGAACUUUCUAGAGAUAGAUUGGUGUCUGCUUGCAGAAACUUAUAUACAGGUGCUGCACGGCUGUCGUCAGCUCGUGUCGUGAGAUGUUGGGUUAAGUCCCGCAACGAGCGCAACCCUCGUCAUUAGUUGCUAACAGUUCGGCUGANAACUCUNAUGAGACUGCCUACGCAAGUAGGGAGGAAGGUGAGGACGACGUCAAGUCAUCAUGGGCCUUACGUCCAGGCUACACACGUGCUACAAUGGGGUAUACA
rnacentral:rRNA from 1 species